GACGAACGCUGGCGGCGUGCUUAACACAUGCAAGUCGAACGGAAAGGCCCUGCUUUUGUGGGGUGCUCGAGUGGCGAACGGGUGAGUAACACGUGAGUAACCUGCCCUUGACUUUGGGAUAACUUCAGGAAACUGGGGCUAAUACCGGAUAGGAGCUCCUGCUGCAUGGUGGGGGUUGGAAAGUUUCGGCGGUUGGGGAUGGACUCGCGGCUUAUCAGCUUGUUGGUGGGGUAGUGGCUUAACAAGGCUUUGACGGGUAGCCGGCCUGGGAGGGUGACCGGCCACAUUGGGACUGGGAUACGGCCCAGACUCCUACGGGAGGCAGCAGUGGGGAAUAUUGCACAAUGGGCGGAAGCCUGAUGCAGCAACGCCGCGUGCGGGAUGACGGCCUUCGGGUUGUAAACCGCUUUCGCCUGUGACGAAGCGUGAGUGACGGUAAUGGGUAAAGAAGCACCGGCUAACUACGUGCCAGCAGCCGCCGUAA
rnacentral:rRNA from 1 species